rnacentral:rRNA from 1 species
UACGUAGGGGGCUAGCGUUGUCCGGAUUUAUUGGGCGUAAAGAGCGUGUAGGCGGCCAGGUAGGUCUGCUGUGAAAACUCGAGGCUCAACCUCGAGACGUCGGCGGAAACCAUCUGGCUAGAGUCCGGAAGAGGAGAGUGGAAUUCCUGGUGUAGCGGUGAAAUGCGCAGAUAUCAGGAAGAACACCCGUGGCGAAGGCGGCUCUCUGGGACGGUACUGACGCUGAGACACGAAAGCGUGGGGAGCGAACAGG